ACUCCUACGGGAGGCAGCAGUGGGGAAUCUUGCGCAAUGGGCGAAAGCCUGACGCAGCCAUGCCGCGUGAAUGAUGAAGGUCUUAGGAUUGUAAAAUUCUUUCACCGGGGACGAUAAUGACGGUACCCGGAGAAGAAGCCCCGGCUAACUUCGUGCCAGCAGCCGCGGUAAUACGAAGGGGGCUAGCGUUGCUCGGAAUUACUGGGCGUAAAGGGAGCGUAGGCGGACUGUUUAGUCAGAGGUGAAAGCCCAGGGCUCAACCUUGGAAUUGCCUUUGAUACUGGCAGUCUUGAGUACGGAAGAGGUAUGUGGAACUCCGAGUGUAGAGGUGAAAUUCGUAGAUAUUCGGAAGAACACCAGUGGCGAAGGCGACAUACUGGUCCGUUACUGACGCUGAGGCUCGAAAGCGUGGGAGCAAACAGGAUUAGAUACCCGUGGUAGGUGAC
rnacentral:rRNA from 1 species